rnacentral:rRNA from 1 species
UACGAAGGGGGCUAGCGUUGUUCGGAAUUACUGGGCGUAAAGCGCGCGCAGGCGGCCUUCCAAGUCAGUGGUGAAAGCCCGGAGCUCAACUCCGGAACUGCCAUUGAAACUGUUAGGCUUGAGGACGAGAGAGGUGAGUGGAAUUCCCCAGUGUAGAGGUGAAAUUCGUAGAUAUUGGGAAGAACACCGGUGGCGAAGGCGGCUCACUGGCUCGUUUCUGACGCUCAGGCGCGACAGCGUGGGAUCAAACAGG